UCCCUAGGUGGCACAAUGGGUCUGUGUGUCUGGCUGCUAACCAGAAGGCUGGUGGUUCGAGCCCACCCAGGGAU